rnacentral:misc_RNA from 1 species
GAUGAAGAACGAAGCGAAAUGCGAUAAGUAAUGUGAAUUGCAGAAUUCAGUGAAUCAUCGAAUCUUUGAACGCACAUUGCGCCCGCCAGUAUUCUGGCGGGCAUGCCUGUUCGAGCGUCAUUUCAACCCUCAGGCCCCCAGUGCCUGGUGUUGGGGAUCGGCCCAGCCUUCCUGUAAGGCCGCCGGCCCCGAAAUCUAGUGGCGGUCUCGCUGUAGUCCUCCUCUGCGUAGUAGCACAACCUCGCAGUUGGAACGCGGCGGUGGCCAUGCCGUUAAACACCCCACUUCUGAAAGUUGACCUCGGAUCAGGUAGGAAUACCCGCUGAACUUAAGCAUAUCAAUAAGCGGAGGA